rnacentral:sRNA from 2 species
AUGGCUGUCGUCAGCUCGUGUCGUGAGAUGUUGGGUUAAGUCCCGCAACGAGCGCAACCCUCGCCCUUAGUUGCCAUCAUUCAGUUGGGCACUCUAAGGGGACUGCCGGUGAUAAGCCGCGAGGAAGGUGGGGAUGACGUCAAGUCCUCAUGGCCCUUACAGGCUGGGCUACACACGUGCUACAAUGGCGGUGACAAUGGGAGGCAAUGGCGCGAGCCUGCGCAAAUCUCAAAAAGCCGUCUCAGUUCGGAUUGCACUCUGCAACUCGAGUGCAUGAAGUUGGAAUCGCUAGUAAUCGCGGAUCAGCAUGCCGCGGUGAAUACGUUCCCGGGCCAUGUACACACCGCCCGUCACACCAUGGGAGUUGGUUUUACCUUAAGACGGUGCGCUAACCGCAAGGGAGCAGCCGGCCACGGUAAGGUCAGCGACUGGGGUGAAGUCGUAACAAGGUAGCCGUAGGGGAACCUGCGGCUGGAUCACCUCCUUUCUAAGGAUGAUCCUUCGAGUCCGCAUCUCGCGGAUUCAUCGGAUCACUUUUGGAACAAAUGCCGGCCAGUCAGGCCGGAUUAUGCGGGACACCGCCGUCUUCGUUUCUCUUUCUUCAUCACGGACAAUCCUGUGCCGCUCUUUGAUUGGAGCGGCCGGGGGCGUCGAGAGCUUUCAGGGCUUGGGGCUUGUAGCUCAGCUGGUUAGAGCGCGCGCUUGAUAAGCGUGAGGUCGGAAGUUCAAAUCUUCCCAGGCCCACCACCUUUCUCGCGAUCCGGCAUUUUGGGAACGCGGGGGCCUUCACGCCUUCCGGGGCCAUAGCUCAGUUGGGAGAGCGCCUGCUUUGCAAGCAGGAGGUCGUCGGUUCGAUCCCGUCUGGCUCCACCAUCUUCUUCGAUGAUGGCGCCGCGACGACCCAAGCCGAAUUCGUCCGUUGAUGAAGUUCCGAUUCCCCGCCGCGUUCGCGGCGGGAAUUUUCGCUCUAUGACAUCGUGAAGAGGCAAAUCAUCCGGACAUUCGCGCCGAGCAAUCGGAACGAAUGCCGUUUAUCGCCCAUGCUUGCUUGCAAGCAUGGCGCGAUCGACACCCACAUCCCCGGAUGAUUUGCGAAGUAAGCUGGUCUUUUCUCUGAAACGAGAAAAAAUGAAGGCGUCGAUUCCGUCUUCGACGAACGAGCAAUCGCUCGACGAAGAACCCUCUGCCGAGGGGUGGGCAUCGACGAUGAGAGCAAUCAAGUGCCUUAAGAGCAUCUGGUGGAUGCCUUGGCGCUGAGAGGCGAUGAAGGACGUAGUACGCUGCGAUAAGCCGCGGGGAGUUGCGAACAAGCUUUGAUCCGCGGAUUUCCGAAUGGGGAAACCCGG